rnacentral:lncRNA from 1 species
AAUCCAAAGAAGGUCAAGACAUCCAUCCAGAACAAAUUAAGGCAGUGUUGCUGGACUCUGCUGGCUUCCAUGGGAUGAUAUAAGCUUUUGCGGUUUUCAACGAGAGGUUCUAUCCAAGAUUUUGGACCUGAUGCUCUAGCUUCUAAAAGUCAGACUUCCUAUGCUCCUUUUGCAUUUACAGAUAUUUUCAUCUGUUAGCCAUUAUAUUGUGUUUUCUAUAGGAAAAACAUUGAGCGUAUGCUCAGAAAACUGAAUGCUAUGAAUUUUUCAGUGACAAGUUCCUUAUUCUGGAUGAUCCUUCUUUAUUCAGUCAUUGUUUACAUGCCAGGCAUUGUAUGGAACGCAGCUACCUUUUGUGUAAGCUGACAAGUCUCCAAUAUGAAUGAAUGACCCAUCGGUUGACUUCAAUUUUGCACUAAUAACUGUAUUUACUCGCUGUAGUUGAGCUCCUCUUUUGUUCUUACCAUGAAAAUAUUGCUGGAAGAUAUACUUUUUUCCCGGGGUCUUUCGAAACAACCUCUCCUUUUUGAAGGUGGGGCCAAGGUCCGUCCCCGGACCCCACUUGUUGUUAUCUACUUUUUCCACAAUGAUUAUGCAAGGUCCUCUUUACGGGGGUUGAUAUUUGGUUGCCUACGGCAAAAAUAAGCGGUUCGGUUUUACCGCCAUCAAGGCGCUUCGAAGAAACUGCCCCCGAAGGCUCGAAGCUUAGCUUGGUGCUCUAGCUUUGAGGGUUCUCAGUGAUCUACUUCGAAGAUAGCGUAGGCAAUGGCCGGCCUCGAGGCAGGGUAAAUCAGUGGCAUCGGAGGAUCGGUGUGAGGUUCCCAAGGCACGUGACUACCGCUGACAAAGUCUAUUAAAAUAGUCCAAACUCGUACCAUGGCAUUAAAUAGCUGUACUAGCCUCAUAUCUUUAUAAUAAAUGCGUUUGUACUAUGUUCAGAUUCCUCCUCAUAUAUAAAGGGGACCCUUGUCAUUUUGUAGGAUCGGAU